UCCCUUUGGUUUCUCUUCAGAUCAAAUUAUGCUUUUGAUUUUUGCUAGAGUGUUCGUGAAGUGGAACUGCCAUGAGCUUCAAAAUUUUUUGAGGCUCUGCCCAUGCAGGGCU